UCCUCGUUAGUAUAAUGGACAGUAUCUCCGCCUGUCACGCGGAAGAUCAGGGGUUCGAUUCCCCGACGGGGAG